UAAAGUUUUUGGUAUGUUUUUAUUUCAGAUUUUGAAUGUGAUUAAUUUUUUUCCAACUGCAACAAAUAACAACGUACUUAAUUUAAUUUGAAUCUUGUUGAAACAGGUUGUGUUUUUGUGACAUGGAAUCAGAUUCAGCUUCUGAUCAUGAUGAGGACUCCAAACAAAGAGGUCCGACAACAAAGACAAAAGCUAAUGAAGUGAAGCUUGUAAUAACUUACAAUAAAAAAGGUGUCCCGAUUGGAAAGGAAGCCACAAAACUGUCUACUUUUGAGGGUUUGGUUGCAAGAACAAUGGUUCCAUAACCUAUGACUCGUGGCUGGAUGUUAGUGAGGAAGUAAGGGAAGGGUUAUGACAAUAUAUUUUGGAAAAGUUUGUAGUUGACCCAAAGAGCUGGAAGCAAACUCUCCAAUCGAUCGGGAAGAAGUGGAGAAACUUCAAACAUUAUCUAUAUGCCAAGUUCAUUAAGAACCGAAGUAAAGAUCCCAAGGCAAAUCUAUUCAAACCUCCGAAAGAUUAUCCGUUUAUAAAGAAAGAAGAUUGGAAAGUUUUUGUAUCCCAUAGAGUUACAAAGAAGUGGGAGGAGAAAAGUAUGAAAGCUAAAAAUACCCGUGCACAUCAUAAAUACAAUCAUCCUUUGAGCAGAAAAGGUUAUGCUGGACUCAUUAAUG